rnacentral:rRNA from 1 species
CCCUAUUAUUGAAAAUGUAAAUAUAAAUGCUUGAGUAUUAGUAGUUAUGUUCUUGAAAUUUAAAGGAUUUGGCGGUAUUAUAGUCUAUUCAGAGGAACCUGUCCUAUAAUUGAUGAUCCACGAUUAAUCUUACUUGUUUUAAAGGUUUGUAUAUCGUCGUAGGUUGAAUGUUUUGAAAGGAAGAGGAAUAUUCAAGAUAUUAAGUUAGAGAGGAAAUCAGAUCAAGAUACAGCAUAUAGACAAGGAGAGAUGGGUUACAAUAAAUUUAUUUAUAUGGUUGAAAUAGCUAACACUAUUUUUUAAAGUGGAUUUGAUUGUAAUAUAGUUUAGUUAAACUAUAUGACUGAAGCUCUAUAAUAUGCACAUAUCGCCCGUCGCUCCUGCUCUAAAGCAGGAUAAGU